UACGUAGGGUGCAAGCGUUAAUCGGAAUUACUGGGCGUAAAGCGUGCGCAGGCGGUUGUGCAAGACCGAUGUGAAAUCCCCGGGCUCAACCUGGGAACUGCAUUUGUGACUGCAAGGCUAGAGUACGGCAGAGGGGGAUGGAAUUCCGCGUGUAGCAGUGAAAUGCGUAGAUAUGCGGAGGAACACCAAUGGCGAAGGCAAUCCCCUGGGCCUGUACUGACGCUCAUGCACGAAAGCGUGGGGAGCAAACCGG
rnacentral:rRNA from 1 species